AUGAACGCUGGCGGCGUGCCUAACACAUGCAAGUCGAACGAGAAGGUAGUCUUCGGACUACUGGAGAGUGGCGCACGGGUGAGUAACACGUAGCUAACCUGCCCCGAAGUGGGGGAUAACCAGUGGAAACAGUGGCUAAAACCCCAUAAUCUCGUAGAGAGUAGAGCGAUACGAGGAAAACUAAGGUGCUUUGGGAGGGGGCUGCGGGCCAUCAGCUAGAUGGUGGGGUAAAAGCCUACCAUGGCAACGACGGCUAGGGGACCUGAGAGGGUGACCCCCCACACUGGGACUGAGACACGGCCCAGACUCCUGCGGGAGGCAGCAGUGAGGGAUCUUGCACAAUGGGCGCAAGCCUGAUGCAGCGACGCCGCGUGGGUGAAGACGGUUUUCGGACUGUAAAGCCCUUUUCUGUGUGACGAGGAAGGACGGUAGCACAGGAAGAAGUCUCGGCUAACUACGUGCCAGCAGCCGCGGUAAAACGUAGGAGGCGAGCGUUAUCCGGAGUUACUGGGCGUAAAGCGCGUGCAGGCGGAUUGCUAAGUUGGUUAUGAAAGCUCCUGGCUAAACUGGGAGAGGUUGACCAAGACUGGCAGUCUAGAGAGGAUGAGAGGUUGACGGAAUUCCGCGUGUAGUGGUGAAAUGCGUAGAGAUGCGGAGGAACACCAGUGGCGAAGGCGGUCAACUGGCAUCCAACUGACGCUCAGACGCGAAAGCAUGGGUAGCGAACGGGAUUAGAAACCCCGGUAGUCCAUGCCGUAAACGAUGCACACUAGACGUUCGGUGUCCUCUGGGCAUUGAGUGUCGCAGCAAACGCGAUAAGUGUGCCGCCUGGGGAGUACGGUCGCAAGGCUAAAACUCAAAGGAAUUGACGGGGGCCCGCACAAGCGGUGGAGCAUGUGGUUUAAUUCGAUGCAACGCGAAGAACCUUACCAGGCCUUGACAUCCUCGGAACUUUCUAGAGAUAGAUUGGUGCCUUCGGGAAUCGAGAGACAGGUGCUGCAUGGCUGUCGUCAGCUCGUGUCGUGAGAUGUUGGGUUAAGUCCCGUAACGAGCGCAACCCUUGUCCUUAGUUGCCAGCACGUAAUGGUGGGAACUCUAAGGAGACUGCCGGUGAUAAACCGGAGGAAGGUGGGGAUGACGUCAAGUCAUCAUGGCCCUUACGGCCUGGGCUACACACGUGCUACAAUGGUCGGUACAGAGGGUUGCCAAGCCGCGAGGUGGAGCUAAUCCCAGAAAGCCGAUCGUAGUCCGGAUUGAAGUCUGCAACUCGACUUCAUGAAGUCGGAAUCGCUAGUAAUCGCGAAUCAGAACGUCGCGGUGAAUACGUUCCCGGGCCUUGUACACACCGCCCGUCACACCAUGGGAGUGGGUUGCAAAAGAAGUAGGUAGCUUAACCUUCGGGAGGGCGCUUACCACUUUGUGAUUCAUGACUGGGGUG
rnacentral:rRNA from 1 species